AACCAGCUACUUCGAGGAAACGCCACAAACAGCAAAAUCACUUAAUCCUACUUACAUUGCCUAUAUUUCUUCAAGUCUUUCACUGUAGGCUGCUAAUCUUCUGUCCUCCUUGGUAGAAUUGGAAAUAAAAGAAAGUCAUUAUUAUUCAGAUUAAUGUACACAAAUCAAAACAUUUUUAUACACACAAUUUUUUUUAUUUAAACAUUUUCUCAUUGUUGAAGGACUUGUCUGUCAACUUGAAUAUGAAGAACAGCAAUAAAAUAAAAGGGUUUCUUUGUUGUAGACCAAGUAAAUUUGACAUUUUCCAUCUCUUAUUCUUCUAUUUUUUCCUGCUUCUUUAACAGGGACGUUAGAAAGGACCAAUGGAGCGUAUCUUUAGUUUGGCUGCAUCAUUUUUCCAUGUGGACUGCUUCCCAAAAAUGAAACCAGAUAAUCUCCAGAAAACUUCAGCAUGACAUCUCAAAGUCCCCUUCUACAGGCAUGGGCAGAAAGCCUGUAGCUGUCGUAGGCCGCUAGCGAACAUCUGAGGCCGCCCGUCCUCGCGAGUCUGCGACGUGGGCCAUUCUCAACAUCCAUGACUGUCGUCCCAUUUGGAGGUAACCAGCUACUUCGAGGAAACGCCACAAGCAGCAAAAUCACUUAAUCGUACUUACAUUGCCUAUAUUUCUUCAAGUCUUUCACUGUAGGCUGCUAAUCUUCUGUCCU
rnacentral:lncRNA from 1 species